GACGAACGCUGGCGGCGUGCCUAAUACAUGCAAGUCGAACGAACUCUGGUAUUGAUUGGUGCUUACAUCAUGAUUUACAUUUGAGUGAGUGGCGAACUGGUGAGUAACACGUGGGAAACCUGCCCAGAAGUGGGGGAUAACACUUUGGAAACAGAUGCUAAUACCGCAUAACAACUUGGACCGCACGGUCCGAGCUUGAAAGAUGGCUUCGGCUAUC
rnacentral:rRNA from 1 species